UAAUCAGGAACACCGAGGCUCAGUGAGGAGCAUAAGCCUGGUCAGGUCAGGCCUGGCGGGGGAUUCGAUCCUCUGCCUGAAACCUUGGAGUGUCUGAAUGGAAAGGAGAGCAAUGAAUCAGCUUUGGUCCCCAUGCCUGUCAAAUCCUGCCUCCCAGGGUCUGAGGAGCUGCAACAAGAGUAUUCUGCACAUAGUGUGUCUGUAUACACCAUGUGAGUGUAUCUGGCUACACCCAGAUAACCUCAGUGCUUUCAAAGCCAUCAUCCCACCCCAGAAGGCCGAGGCCAGAGUGAGGCCAGUGAUCUCACCGUGGCCUUAUCUAUGUCGCUUGGGCAUGAGACUAACUCUCUCCUCAAAGCUGGGCCCAUUGCCUCCGUUCAUCACUGAACCCUCAAGUGAGAUGAGAGUUGUCAGGCUGUGGAGUUCCCUGUAAAUAGCAGAAAAUCGAUCGAGUGUGACUAACACAGAAGCUCCGGCCAGCGGCACAGGGACCCUCCAGGGAGAAGGUUUUCUCUGCCAUCCACAGUUGGCAGUGGGACCUGCACCUGGUAUAUUUGUUACAGUAGCAUCUCUGUGAUCACAGUGCCUGAUUGAAGCAAACUAAGACUGAAGAAGAUUGAUUCCGGCUCACAGUCUGAGGAACCAGUCCAUCAAAGCAGGAAGGAGAGGGGACAGACAGGAGACUACUAAAGGCAUGGCUAAGUAAAGGUGGCCAUGCGUACAGAAAAAUUGAGAUCUCACCUGUGACCUGAAUGGAAUGGCAGCCUCAGAGGAAAUGGUGGCGCCUCUAGGCUGAGGGGUGACUUGCUUGCUUGGUUUGGGCUGGAGUGUUUGAAGUGCUUCAAUAUUUUGAUCCCAGGAUCCCAGGGUUUUGCUAAGACCUGCCUCUUCUUCAGCCAGGAUUCUGCUCGACCCUGGUGGGGCACAUGGUCACCAAAGCUGGUACUCGAGGCUCAGGGGUGAAGAGGGCAGCUUGGUGAGCCCCAGGCAUGGUGCUGGGUCUUACCACAGAGGCUUCUGUAAGGACUCAACGAGAUCAUGAGACAGAAGUGCUGCCUCUCAACCCAGCUAGGAACUCUCUAGACCUGCGUGUCUUCCUCUCCUGCCAGCUCUGUGUCCCCACCUGCCCAGUGACCAGGCAUCUAGGUGGCAUGCCUAGGGUUGCCCCC
rnacentral:lncRNA from 1 species